UCAGAUGACUUUCUAUAUUUUUAAUAAGCUUGUUUUCACACCAAUGUAGAUCGUCGGAAUUAUUUAAUUAUGUUGUUAUUUUUCAGUAUCAAUAUUUCUCCCUAAUUUUAGUAAUUAUAGUAUCAUUUAUGAAAAAGACAGUCAUUUGAUUGUCUGAAAAUGUCACGCUUAGCUCAUCGGCUGCUAUAUAUUCUGCAGUACCUAUAUUCAUGCAGUACCCAAUUAUGGAGUAUAUAAAUCUGCAGUAUUAAAUCAGCAGCAUUUAAUCUGCUCUACUCAAGCUCGAUUCAAUCAGCCAUUUGUCAGAUGCUUCUUAUUAAAAUAUACUAAGCUCAGCUUACACUGAGUUACUUAGAAGGUACAAAGGGGGCAAUAGAAUGAAACCAAGUAGGUUCCAGACAUCAAAAAAAAGUUACCACCAGCGGCGAUCCACCACCACUAUCAAUUUCGAGAAAUUUUAAUACCUGAGUAUAUUCACUAAAGAAAUCCAAUAUUGAGUUAGACUGUUUACUGAAGAAAUCACUGCAUCAAUCAUUCUGUCUGCAAUCGCUAGCAUUACACCCAUUACAAUCUGUACCGUGGUCACUACCACCUAGACAGAUAACUUAGUCACCGCCGCCCCAACCCUAAACUUUACUGAUAUGGCUAGAGUCAUUAUUUCUUUCUGUAUAUCCGUUAGUAUAUUAUCUAAUUAUCAGUUUAAUAGUUAGCUAAGAGUUUAUGAGUCUGCAUGUACUAAUAAUAUAACAUGCCCGCCGCUCAUGUCGAUACCAUGACAAUAUGUUUGUUUAUCAAUGCAGCCAUUGUACAUACCAGCUCUGUCUCAUAUGCAGUUCUCGUAGAACAACAAAUAAAUCAGUAUAAUAUUCCUGUUACCUCUAGUUAUGUCGGGCCACCUGUUGCAGAUAUACAGCACUUCUUCCUGCGGUCCAACUCAGGUCUUAAUUAAUUUGGUAAAUCAGAUUUAUCAGUUUCUGAAGGGUGAAGAUGAAAACUGAUGCAGGAAUAAUAAAAGAUAUUGGCAGACUUAGAGUCUGAAAGAUUUCUGCAGUCAUUUAUUGCCCGUCAACUACCUAGCCGAACUAGAAGCCGAAAUUGCUCGCCGCACGCAAAAACAGGGUAAAGCCGCCGCUAAAUAUACUACUGAAAUGCAAAUAUUACUCCGUCUUUUUGGAGGAUAUAAUGUAACACAAAAACUGAAGUGAUUAUAUUAUAUCCUGUUACCUAAUUAUCGUUUUUUUUUCUGGAGAUAAUCGUAGCGCAAAGAUUGAGGAGUCGACAGAUACACUAUUUUGCCAAACUUUGUUGUGUUGUACGUAAAAUUACGUACGUGCGAAAGACCGUCACAAUUUCUAAUAUUAUUUUUUUUGAUCAUUAAGUCUGCAUUUCAAAAAUAUUAAUCUUUUGUAUUCUGGCUUUAACUUAUACGACUAAAGCAUCUAUUAAUUGUACAAAUUCCCUUUAAUUUCUUUCAAUCUGAAACAGAAGAUCACUUAAGCAAUGUUAAAUUUAAAUAGAUUUGUUUUAAAAUGUUUGUCGGUUAAAGAUGAUGCUGCUCGGAGAAAUAUUCUAAUACUGAAAAUCCUACAAUAGAUUGAUAUACGAAAGUAGACAGGUUGUUAGCUAUUGUGCAGUUUUUACAGAAUUGUAAAUUUUCUAGGCGCUGGUUAUGCAACACAUACCAAAAUACAAAAUAGUUUCUGUAAUUUACACAAGAUUAAAAUUUAAAAGCAUUAAACGAUACAGAUACGCGCAAAACCAAAAUUCUGUACACUACUUUAUCAAAAUGCUUAUUAAAUUAUGCAAUUUACCUGAACUUUAAUCUCGUCCGCCAACCAUCCUAAAACGAAAACUUGCAGUACCAAGACAACUAAAUAGGAAAGCAAGAAAAUUAUUCCUGGGGAAGUUUCUCUCUAACUAAAAUUAAUUAAAAUAUAUGCUGACAUUAAAGACA